rnacentral:sRNA from 1 species
UGCGGAAGGAUCAUUACAGAGUUCAUGCCCUCACGGGUAGACCUCCCACCCUUGUGUAUUUAUACUAUGUUGCUUUGGCGCAGUGUUUGACUCAGGUCAAACCUCAGCUCCUCGUGAGUUGAGAGUCCUUCGCCAGAGGAAAACCAAACUCUGAUUAUUAAUGUCGUCUGAGCACUAUAUAAUAGUUAAAACUUUCAACAACGGAUCUCUUGGUUCUGGCAUCGAUGAAGAACGCAGCGAAAUGCGAUAAGUAAUGUGAAUUGCAGAAUUCAGUGAAUCAUCGAAUCUUUGAACGCACAUUGCGCCCCUUGGUAUUCCGGGGGGCAUGCCUGUUCGAGCGUCAUUUCAACCCUCAAGCCUAGCUUGGUAUUGGGCCUCUACCAGUCAGAUGGUAGGCCUCAAAAUCAGUGGCGGCGCCGUUGGGUCCUGAACGUAGUAAUAUAUUUCGUUACAGGUGCCUCACGUGCUUCUGCCAUUAAACCCCCAAUUUUCUAUGGUUGACCUCGGAUCAGGUAGGGAUACCCGCUGAA